rnacentral:rRNA from 1 species
UACAGAGGGUGCGAGCGUUGUUCGGAAUUAUUGGGCGUAAAGGGCGCGUAGGCGGCGCGGUAUGUCACCUGUGAAAUCUCCUGGCUCAACUGGGAGCUUGCAGGCGAAACUGCCGUGCUGGAGUGUGGGAGAGGUGCGUGGAAUUCCCGGUGUAGCGGUGAAAUGCGUAGAUAUCGGGAAGAACACCCGUGGCGAAGGCGGCUCUCUGGGACGGUACUGACGCUGAGACGGCGAAAGCGUGGGGAGCGAACAGG